GACGAACGCUGGCGGCGUGCUUAACACAUGCAAGUCGAACGGAAAGGCCCUGCUUUUGUGGGGUGCUCGAGUGGCGAACGGGUGAGUAACACGUGAGUAACCUGCCCUUGACUUUGGGAUAACUUCAGGAAACUGGGGCUAAUACCGGAUAGGGGCUCCUGCUGCAUGGUGGGGGUUGGAAAGUUUCGGCGGUUGGGGAUGGACUCGCGGCUUAUCAGCUUGUUGGUGGGGUAGUGGCUUACCAAGGCUUUGACGGGUAGCCGGCCCGAGAGGGUGACCGGCCACAUUGGGACUGAGAUACGGCCCAGACUCCUACGGGAGGCAGCAGUGGGGAAUAUUGCACAAUGGGCGGAAGCCUGAUGCAGCAACGCCGCGUGCGGGAUGACGGCCUUCGGGUUGUAAACCGCUUUCGCCUGUGACGAAGCGUGAGUGACGGUAAUGGGUAAAGAAGCACCGGCUAACUACGUG
rnacentral:rRNA from 1 species